rnacentral:lncRNA from 1 species
GGAAGGUGUUGUGUGCGGAAUUUGGAUGUGGAAGCCCGUGCACUAUGAAUACAGUAGCAAUGGAGGAUGCAGGUGAUGUGGGGAGCUUCUGGGAGAGGGGAGGCAUGAGCAUCCCACAGCAACCAGGAGCACCAUGGCUUCUGAGUGAGGAUAUCAUCAAGGGAUGAGACCCCGCCUGCCUGAGAAUUCCAAGGCUACCAGGCAACUCAGAAUGGCAGGGCUGGGAGGAAUCUGAGACAUCAAAAUCCACUUCUAAUUUUUCACACACUGCUCUGAGACCUGGCUAAGAGUAGUGGCUGUAGUAGCGGCAGGUCCACACUUUGACAACAGAGUCACAGCUUUAAAUCAAGCUGGCAUCAUCUCACAACUGGAUUAUUGUACCAAUUUCCUAAAGGGCUCCAUGUCUCCAGGCCUACCCACCCCCAGGGCAUCCUCUACAGAAGAGCAAAGUGUAGUCCUUGAACCAGCAGCAUCAACAUUACUUGGACGCAUCAUAGCAAUGUAAAUUCUCAGGCCCCAUCCCAGAACUACUAAAUCAGAAAUUCUAGAGGUAGAGUUCAGUACCCAUGUUUCAGCCUGCCUUCCAGAUAAUCCUGAUGCUCAAUAAAGUUUAAGAACCACUGCUCUAUGGUAUACAAUUUAAGCCAAAGUCCAUGCUACCUUCUAGCUUAAAAAUUCUUCAUUGUCCCCCUUACGGUGAUUCUCAAACUUGCUAGCCUAGCUCUCCACGUACUUUGCAAUAUAUCCUCAUUCUACAUCUCUGGUCACAUUGCUUACUGCGCCCUGACCCAUAUCUCAAGCCCAGCCAUGCUGCUCUCCAGACUGAACCCCAGAGUGGGGCAGCUUCCUCCUUAGCUACCUCCAGGAAUAACAUCCAUGUGUCCAAGAACUGUAUUAUUAUCCUGUUGAAAGCACACCCACGGCAGAGUUGACCAUCCUGAGGAUGGAUUCACCAUGCAGAGGCAGUAGACAAGGCUGGCAGUGGAAGGAGAAUUGCCACGUGCUGAGUGCCUGCUACUGGCUGACCCCAUAGUGGAUCAACUUCCCUACAAUGUCUCACUGAAUAUCUACAAAAAAUUUUUAAAAACCUGUGAAGGACUGAUGGAAAUAAGGAGGUAAGUAUACCCAAGCCCAAAAGCAAAUGUGAGCAGGAAGACCUUCCUGGAAUCAAAAGUAGAAUAAGAACAGGUGUAAAAAGACAAAAAAAGCCACUGCCUUUCUUCAGGGCCCCUCUAGGGUCCUGGAGCCCAACAACCAGCCCAGGGUCCAUCCUCUGAAAGCCUCAAUGCAUUUUCUCCCUUUGCUGAAGCAAGGGAGAAAGACAACAAAGAGCUUCUCUCUUUGUUGAAGCAAGAAAUCCAAAGGGCACUUGUUGCAAGCCCUCGAUCCAAAGACCCAGCAGUUCUGUUUUUGCUGAGUCAGGAUAACACAGAACCAGUCACAGAAAGAACAUGGGGACAUCAGGGCCUGUAAGUGAGCACAGAGUUCAAUGCUGGGAGUCCAGGUCUCCCAGCCACAGAUCUGUCAUUCACCAGGUUGGAGACAACAUCCAGCCCCAACGCAUGCCCAGAUCCCAGGGUCUGGACUUCUUUUGCUGAGUUUACGCAUAAUGAGGUCACCAAAUCAACCUCUCUCUAAAGGCCCAUCUGAUAUAUGUGAGCACAGCAUACUGGAGAGGCAAAUCCCUUCUGUCCCCAGGCAUGAUAAAGUGGUCACCUGAAGUUUCAGUAUCUACAGAGAAAUUGCUAUUAAACCAAUUUCCAAGUCCCAGACGGGGUCCCUGCUAGGGACCACCAUCCUUCCCUGCUGGGGUUCAGCAUCAACUCCUGCUCUUGGGGCGGUGAGGGGAGAGGGCCGCUUUUGAACUUUUUUUCUGAUAGUCUGAGGUUUUCAAGGGUGUUCUGCCUUUCAGAUUUAUUUCAGCAAGUUGCUGUUAAUUGUGUUUUCAAUUAGUUAUGUUUAAAACAUCUUGAGAUUUGGGCAACUGAAACUGCAGUGCAUCAAUAAUUAUUAAACAGAGGUUCUAAUCCAUUAUUUAUUGAAUAAAUUUUUAAUACUAAUGCAGAAUCCAUUGUCACUGACACCAUGAGUUUGGCCAUUAAGAAAAAAAGCUGACGAAAGGAAACUGAAGCUCCAGGAUUCUUAAAUGAAGGCCCGUGGAGCAGAGCUUCCUGGAGAACAGAUUGGCAGCUGUUUCUCUUUCAUGUCUGUUUAAUCAAGGCUUUGUUGCCUAGGGGAAGGGAGGGGAGUUCCCACAUAGUAGGUAC